CGGGCCAGCGAGUUCUGAUCUAUGGCGAGACUAAGCGUGUAAACGCGGAGUCGUAGGGAAACCAACAAGCCCGCAACUCUUUGAGUUAGGGGCGAGGUGCGCUCGCCUGGAGUCAUAGGUGGGAUACCCGAAGCCAGUUGAUCUAUGCGUGGGCAGGUCGAAGUCCCUCGAAAGGGGGAUGGAGGACCGAACCGGUAAUGAUGUGCAAAUCUUUCGGAUGACCUGCGUAUAGGGGUGAAAGGCCAAUCUAAACUGGAAAUAGCUGGUUCCUCCUGAAACUAGUCGCAGCUAGAUCUCAGCCGAGACAGAUCGUGGGGUAGAGCGACCGAUUGGGGGCUAAGGGCGGGAAACCGCUCGGCUCCCUGCCAAACUCCGAACCUGCGAUCGUCGUAGACGCUGGGAGUGAGGGCCUCUGGGGUAAACUUGGGGUCCAUAAGGGAAUCAACCCAGCCUAAGGUUAAGGUCCCAAAGUACCGGCUAAGUGUAAUAUGAAACGGAGUCCGUAGCCAGAGACAACCGGGAGGUGGGCUUAGAAGCAGCCAUCCUUCAAAGAAAGCGUAACAGCUCACCGGUCGAGGUUAUGGGCCCGGAAGAUGGACGGGGCUAAAGCCGGUCACCGAUACCUUAGAGCACCGCAAGGUGAUCUGGUAAGGAGGUGACGUGCAUGGGCAGAAGCUUGGGCGUGAGCUCAAGUGGACCGUGUUCGUAUAAGGAUGCUGGGAGGAGUAGCAGCAAAGAACGGUGAGAAUCCGUUCCGCCGCAGGGGCCAGGGUUCCUCGGCAAUGUUCGUCAGCCGAGGGUUAGCCGAUCCUAAGACAAACCUUAACCGAACUUGUCAAAAGGGAAGCAGGUUAAUAUUCCUGCGCCACCACAGCCCCUAUCUGAUCUUUAACGCAUCCGGAUAAGUCGAGCAGGGGUGUCAACCUGUUCAAGCGUGUAUAAGCCCGGGGAGAACCGUAAUGGUGAGAACCGAGUAAAAGCGCGAGUAGGCGGGCGAAGGCCCGCUUCGGUCGAUUUCGGGUCUCCAUGAAAAUGAGAUCAGUUAUAGCUGUUGUGUUCGUACCAAGAACUGACACAGGUGCCCCUAGGUGAGAAGCCUAAGGCGUGUCGGCGUAAUCCAAGCGAGGGAAUUCGGCAAAUUAGCCCCGUACCUUUGGUAGAAGGGGUGCCAGCCUUGAAGAAGGCUGGUCUCAGUGACUAGGGAGCUCCGACUGUUUAAUAAAAACAUAGGUCGCAGCUAGUCCGAAAGGAUGUGUAUUGCGGCUGAAGCCUGCCCAGUGACGGUAUCUGAAUUUCCGGUUCAACGGAACGAAGGACCGUUAAACGGCGGGGGUAACUAUGACCCUCUUAAGGUAGCGUAAUACCUUGUCGCUUAAUUGGCGACUUGCAUGAAGGCCCAACGAGAGCUCUACUGUCCCCGCUUGGAAGCCGGUGAAACUAAUAGUACUGGCGCACAAUCCAGUAUCUUCCACCUGAAAGCGAAGACCCCGUGGAGCUUUACUGCAACCUGUUGUUGUGGUACGAGCUUCGAUGUGUAGAGUAGGCAGGAGACGUUAUCAGGGCCGGCCGCUAGGUCGGUUCCGAGUCAACGAUGAAACACUGCCCUUCGGAACUCGUAUCACUUACUUCUUCGGAAGGACAGCUAUAGGUAGGCAGUUUGGGUGGGGCGCCACGCGCUCAAAAAGAUAACAAGCGCGCCCAAAGGUCAGCUCAAGUAGGUCAGAAAUCUACUGAAGAAUGCAAGGGUAAAAGCUGGCUUGACGCGGAUUGGGACAACAACAACCCGCGAUACGAAAGUAGGGCCUAGCGAACCACUCAGCCUUCUGAAUGGGGGCGAGUGAUAACAGAAAAGUUACCCCGGGGAUAACUGAGUCGUCGCUAGCAAGAGUUCAUAUCGACCUAGCGGUUUGCUACUUCGCUGUCGGCUCUCCCUAUCCUGGCGGUGCAGCAGCUGCCAAGGGUGGGGUUGUUCGCCCAUUAAAAGGGAUCGUGAGCUGGGUUUAGACCGUCGUGAGACAGGUUUGUUGCUUUUUGGUGGAAGUGCAUUGAUGCCUGACGAGAAGGAUCCUUUAGUACGAGAGGAACGGGGAUCCGUAGCCUCUAGUUCAUCAGUUGUCCGGCAGGGCAUUGCUGAGCAGCCACGCUAUAGUGGAUAAGAGCUGAAAGCAUCUAAGCUCGAAACCAUCUCGGAAAAGAGGCAUCUUACAACGCUUGUAACUGACGAGCUUGAUAGGACCGGGAUGUAAGCACCAAGGUUCGCCGAGGU
rnacentral:rRNA from 1 species